GACUAACACGGCUACCCCUCGGAUAUAUGCAACCUUAAUUCUUUGUCUUUAUGCAGGAGAUCAGAUGCAUCAGAUUGGGGCUCCAACCUCCUGCAAACCUUACAAAGUAAUCUUCAGAGGACAACUGGAGGACUAAGGAUGGGGGAGCACUGUGCUAAGCACUGUCCAAACACAGAAAGUGAUAAUCCUACAGAAGCCCCUCCACAACUCUUCCGUGGGGAUAGAGUUCUUUGCGAUGAGGAAGGCCCAGGUAUGAGAAUAGAGGGAAGAGACUAUGGUGAUGCUAUUUUCCAGUGCAUCUU